rnacentral:rRNA from 1 species
UUUCCGUAGGUGAACCUGCGGAAGGAUCAUUACAGAAAUAGGAGAAGGUUGCUUAACUGCAAUCCUUUUCUUUCUACACAUGUGUUUUUCUUUUUUUUGAAAACUUUGCUUUGGUGGGCCCACGGCCUGCCAGAGAUUAAACUCAACCAAAUUUUUAUUUAAUUGUCAACUUGAUUAACUAAUAGUCAAAACUUUCAACAACGGAUCUCUUGGUUCUCGCAUCGAUGAAGAACGCAGCGAAAUGCGAUAAGUAAUAUGAAUUGCAGAUAUUCGUGAAUCAUCGAAUCUUUGAACGCACAUUGCGCCCUUUGGUAUUCCAAAGGGCAUGCCUGUUUGAGCGUCAUUUCUCCCUCAAACCUUCGGGUUUGGUGUUGAGCGAUACGCUGGGUUUGCUUGAAAGAAAGGCGGAGUAUAAACUAAUGGAUAGGUUUUUUUUUUCCACUCAUUGGUACAAACUCCAAACAUUCUUCCAAAUUCGACCUCAAAUCAGGUAGGACUACCCGCUGAACUUAA